GACGAACGCUGGCGGCGUGCUUAACACAUGCAAGUCGAACGGAAAGGCCCUGCUUUUGUGGGGUGCUCGAGUGGCGAACGGGUGAGUAACACGUGAGUAACCUGCCCUUGACUUUGGGAUAACUUCAGGAAACUGGGGCUAAUACCGGAUAGGAGCUCCUGCCGCAUGGUGGGGGUUGGAAAGUUUCGGCGGUUGGGGACGGACUCGCGGCUUAUCAGCUUGUUGGUGGGGUAGUGGCUUACCAAGGCUUUGACGGGUAGCCGGCCUGAGAGGGUGACCGGCCACAUUGGGACUGAGAUACGGCCCAGACUCCUACGGGAGGCAGCAGUGGGGAAUAUUGCACAAUGGGCGGAAGCCUGAUGCAGCAACGCCGCGUGCGGGAUGACGGCCUUCGGGUUGUAAACCGCUUUCGCCUGUGACGAAGCGUGAGUGACGGUAAUGGGUAAAGAAGCACCGGCUAACUACGUG
rnacentral:rRNA from 1 species